UGGGGAAUUUUGGACAAUGGGCGAAAGCCUGAUCCAGCAAUGCCGCGUGUGUGAAGAAGGCCUUCGGGUUGUAAAGCACUUUUGUCCGGAAAGAAAUCCUUGGCUCUAAUACAGUCGGGGGGAUGACGGUACCGGAAGAAUAAGCACCGGCUAACUACGUGCCAGCAGCCGCGGUAAUACGUAGGGUGCAAGCGUUAAUCGGAAUUACUGGGCGUAAAGCGUGCGCAGGCGGUUUGCUAAGACCGAUGUGAAAUCCCCGGGCUCAACCUGGGAACUGCAUUGGUGACUGGCAGGCUAGAGUAUGGCAGAGGGGGGUAGAAUUCCACGUGUAGCAGUGAAAUGCGUAGAGAUGUGGAGGAAUACCGAUGGCGAAGGCAGCCCCCCUGGGGCCAAUACUGACGCUCAUGCACGAAAGCGUGGGGAGCAAACAGGAUUAGAUACCCUGGUAGUCCACGCCCUAAAACGAUGUCAACUAGUUGUUGGGGGAUUCAUUUUCCUUAGUAACGUAGCUAACGCGUGAAGUUGACCGCCUGGGGAGUACGGUCGCAAGAUUAAAACUCAAAUGAAUUGACGGGGUCAUA
rnacentral:rRNA from 1 species